rnacentral:tRNA from 1 species
AACAAGUUAGUAUAUAAAAUACCAUUGGCUUAGGACCAAUUAACAAGGACCACCCUUACUUGUCA